rnacentral:rRNA from 1 species
AGAUUAAGUUAUUAAGGGCGCACGGUGGAUGCCUUGGCACUAGAAGCCGAUGAAGGACGUUACUAACGACGAUAUGCUUUGGGGAGCUGUAAGUAAGCUUUGAUCCAGAGAUUUCCGAAUGGGGAAACCCAGCAUGAGUUAUGUCAUGUUAUCGAUAUGUGAAUACAUAGCAUAUCAGAAGGCACACCCGGAGAACUGAAACAUCUUAGUACCCGGAGGAAGAGAAAGAAAAUUCGAUUCCCUUAGUAGCGGCGAGCGAAACGGGAAGAGCCCAAACCAACAAGCUUGCUUGUUGGGGUUGUAGGACACUCUAUACGGAGUUACAAAGGACGACAUUAGACGAAUCAUCUGGAAAGAUGAAUCAAAGAAGGUAAUAAUCCUGUAGUCGAAAAUGUUGUCUCUCUUGAGUGGAUCCUGAGUACGACGGAGCACGUGAAAUUCCGUCGGAAUCUGGGAGGACCAUCUCCUAAGGCUAAAUACUCUCUAGUGACCGAUAGUGAACCAGUACCGUGAGGGAAAGGUGAAAAGCACCCCGGAAGGGGAGUGAAAUAGAACCUGAAACCGUGUGCUUACAAGUAGUCAGAGCCCGUUAAUGGGUGAUGGCGUGCCUUUUGUAGAAUGAACCGGCGAGUUACGAUUUGAUGCAAGGUUAAGCAGUAAAUGUGGAGCCGUAGCGAAAGCGAGUCUGAAUAGGGCGUUUAGUAUUUGGUCGUAGACCCGAAACCAGGUGAUCUACCCUUGGUCAGGUUGAAGUUCAGGUAACACUGAAUGGAGGACCGAACCGACUUACGUUGAAAAGUGAGCGGAUGAACUGAGGGUAGCGGAGAAAUUCCAAUCGAACCUGGAGAUAGCUGGUUCUCUCCGAAAUAGCUUUAGGGCUAGCCUCAAGUGAUGAUUAUUGGAGGUAGAGCACUGUUUGGACGAGGGGCCCCUCUCGGGUUACCGAAUUCAGACAAACUCCGAAUGCCAAUUAAUUUAACUUGGGAGUCAGAACAUGGGUGAUAAGGUCCGUGUUCGAAAGGGAAACAGCCCAGACCACCAGCUAAGGUCCCAAAAUAUAUGUUAAGUGGAAAAGGAUGUGGCGUUGCCCAGACAACUAGGAUGUUGGCUUAGAAGCAGCCAUCAUUUAAAGAGUGCGUAAUAGCUCACUAGUCGAGUGACACUGCGCCGAAAAUGUACCGGGGCUAAACAUAUUACCGAAGCUGUGGAUUGUCCUUUGGACAAUGGUAGGAGAGCGUUCUAAGGGCGUUGAAGCAUGAUCGUAAGGACAUGUGGAGCGCUUAGAAGUGAGAAUGCCGGUGUGAGUAGCGAAAGACGGGUGAGAAUCCCGUCCACCGAUUGACUAAGGUUUCCAGAGGAAGGCUCGUCCGCUCUGGGUUAGUCGGGUCCUAAGCUGAGGCCGACAGGCGUAGGCGAUGGAUAACAGGUUGAUAUUCCUGUACCACCUAUAAUCGUUUUAAUCGAUGGGGGGACGCAGUAGGAUAGGCGAAGCGUGCGAUUGGAUUGCACGUCUAAGCAGUAAGGCUGAGUAUUAGGCAAAUCCGGUACUCGUUAAGGCUGA